UUUAAUUUUAUGUAGGUUUUUUUUGUUGGAUUAUUGAUUUCAAUUUCAAUGGAAACCAACCACAACCGCGCGUAAUUUUGUCUCCUUAUAGUACACCUCCCUAUUUCUUCUCAAAGGCAAAAAAUUCUAGGUAUUUUUAAAAGUUUCAUCAAUGGUGUCCAUAACAAUGGGUGGAGCAGAGACGCCCCGCAUUUUUGUUAGUAUAAUUAAUCAAUUUGGGGUUCCUCCAUUGAGCGAACUUUUUUGUUUUUGCUUAAAUACGUUAUUUAAAUUGAUUGAUUGUUCAACCCACCCUUUAUUAAUCGACAAUAUACUUCUAAUUUUCUUAUCAAAAUUCCCUGAUUUCAUAUUCUAAAACUCUUUGAUUAUCUUUUGAUUAUGUUAUGUGGGUGUAUCGUCAUUGCCCCACUUAUUAAUUUGAUGACCCAAUUUCUUGAUCUGAUGAUCCAAUUUUUAUUUAUGUUGCUUUGUUAAGUGGGUUUUGAUUUUUGAGGUACCCAAUUUAUUUUUGGCUUGAAUUAUAGUUUAUUAUCAGAUUUUUUGGCUAUGAUAAAUUUGGAUCAGGGUAUGAUGAUGUAUUCAUACUCUUCCAUGCUUAAAGUUUUGAUAGUGUAAGAAGCUAGUCUAUUAACUGCAUUGAGGAGAAAGGAGUUGAUUGUGUGUGUAAAGGUUUGCAAUUUCUCAGCUGAAUAUAUAGCUGGUUUGAACAUCUCUUUGAAGCAGUUAAUUCAAGAGAGGAUGUGUUAAGGAGAUUGAUUUGACGUUGUGUAUUUGAAGUAUGUUGAAGUUAGGUUGGGUGAUUGAACAUUUGCUUAAACAUGGUUGAUACUCCACUUUGUCGUAAAAAAGAAGGCGAGAAGAAAUUGAUUGUUCUAUGAUCAUGAAUCAUGAUUAUCCUGUCAAUUGUUACUUUGCUAGCUAUAUUGUAGACCCCAGUAGACUUGUGAUCUAUUAAACAAUUCAUGUCUCAUUUUCAUCUAACAAGCUCAUAGAAAUUAGUUUUAUGUUUGCACGCCUUGUUCUAUCAAAUCUUGAUCACAAUUGUUCAUGCAUUGCAGCUUGGGUACCAAUGGAAAAUAUCCUUUAUUUAGGUGGACUAAAUAUUGCCUCUGAGAUCUACAACAAAGAAUAUAUGACCAAUUUUUGCUUAAUUAAAAUCUUAUUGAAUUAGACUCACAUUUCAUUUCUACAGGGUAGUGAUGAAUGACACUUAAUGCAAGAAAAUCCAUAUUAGUUAGUUACAUGAGUAGGCAAGACAGAGGCUGCAAAUAUAAUUGUGCAAUACCUUGUCUAUUAGGUUGGUUGAUUUUGUCCUCACAUACAGUGGAUUGUUGAGCAACAAGCUUUGGAGGUAAGAGUUCAAUGUAAUCAACUCUCACUGUUGAAUUCGUAAAAAGGAGUUUUAUGAGGAAAGCAGAAAAGAACAUUAGUUUAACUAAAACAAAGAUGACUCUAUACUUAAAUUACCUCAUACCCCCUCUCUAUAAAUACUAAAACAAAGAUGACUCAAUACUUAAAUUAUUUUAUACCCCCUCUAUAUAAAUAUAGAGAGCAUCACUUACUUGUUUGUUGUAUAUUUGUUAAUGACAGGUAAGUACUAGAAAUUGUGAAUUUUAUAGUCUCAUUGUAGUUCCAUGCUUGUCUUGGUGUGAGGGGUAUUUUACCUCGUACCUCCAAAUUGAUUGUAUAUUGGUUGCAUACAUAUCCCGAAUUACACUUGUUCUUUAUAUAGCCCUCAUAAUUCUUUCAAACCUAAAUUGUCUGAUAUUUUUCAGCCGUGUGAAUCAUGCAUUUCAUUCUAGAAUUUCCCAUUGUCUCUUUGCUUUUUUCUUUCGGUCAAGGGUUUGGAUGGCUAUGGACUGGUGGGAAUGUUUGAUACGGUGAGUAAAAGAAAUUGAUCAUAUUUUCUGAAAAUAGUUUCUUAAGUUAUUUCUUUCCAUUUUUGCAGUUUUGAUGCUUAUAUUUUCAAAAAAUAAUUUCCACUGUUGGCUUAUAUUAAUUCUUCAAAUUUGAUGCUGCAGUAAGGGGUUAAUGGGGGUAGGGAGAUAGGGAAACGAGAUCCUAGUAAUAAUAGCACUAGUACAAAACUAAUCUAAGUUUUAGGGAAUUGAUCUAUAUAUGAAAAGAUUGGAAUGGGUUACUGUUUUUCAAGGUGAGCGAUGUGACUAUGUGACAAUUGAUAAUUCUCUUCUCAAAUAUUGUGGUGUGAUUGCGUAAGACUUUAAUUUGUUGAUGCUUGUAGUGCAAUCAAUUUAGCUAAUGGUUUUGAUUUGACACAUCUUAAUUGUUGGUGUGAUUCUCAAUUGAUUUUUGUUAUGUUUUUUUAUACCGAAGUUGCAACUUGGAUUGGUGUGUAGAUCUAGAUUAUAUUGCCAUUGUGGUGGGUUACAAAUGUAUUGAUCGGAAACUAAUUUGUGUAUCUUGUUUUAUAUACGAAGUAAAUGAAUUGAAUUUGUAUGUAAAAAAGUUUGCCUUCCCUCUUCCCCUCUUCUUUCUAAUUACUUACUUUCUUGAUUGAUUAUUGCUUGUAGUUAAGGGCUGUUUGGCAUGACAUAGUUUGUCGAAAUUUCUCCAAUUUUUGUUGUUAAUGGAGAGGUUUUGAUUCCUAUUCUGAAACCAACUGGAUACACCAGUGCUGAUCCUUCUAAAAUAUUAAUUGAAGACAAAGAUACUCGUAAAUCUUCAAGCAAUUAGUAGAAGAUAGAGAGAUACUUGAUUCCAUUAGUUUUCUUUCCUUCGAGCAAUUUUUUUUUCUUUUAAUUUUAAAGUAAUAGUGUAAUGGAGUACUACUAAGAUUUGAUAUAUUUUGUUUUUUCUUGUAUUUGACUUCACCUUUAUCAAUUAAAGAUUAAAUUUACUUUAUUGAUAAUGAAUA